CUCGCCACCAGGAGGCUUGCAAUGCAGUCAGGAACACUGGUGCCAGCUGCCAAGAAGGUGAUCCCCAUGAUGACAUCAGGAAUCCCAAAUGUGAAGCCUAUAACUGCGACCUGUAAAGACACAAAAGAGGAGGUCAGUGGUCGGUGUCUCACCUCAGUGAUGAGCAUCCGUGAUGCCAUGGUGAGGCGGGUUCUGGGGGAGAAGUGACUGGUCAUCAUGAUCCUCAUCCCCACAUCGGAGAAAGACAGCUGGUGUGGGAGGAGCAAGGAUUUUGGUCUGCUCUCAAGUCUGCGACCACAGGUAGGACUUUCGUAUUUUUUACUACUGUACGUACUCAUUGAAUAUAUACACUGCACUGUAGUACAUACUACGUACAACAUACAAAAUACUCUACGUGUUCUGUUGGGAUCAUGUAGUACAGGUCGAGCUCAAAUGCUUAAUGGAACGGUCGAGUGCGUUUAUUAGGCCUACGAUGCAUUUUUAGAUAUCUAUGCUAGGUCAGCAGACCCAGUCUGUGCCUGAGAAAUUCAAAUUUUAUCAAUGCUAACCAUUAUAAGAAUGGACUCAAAUAGAUCGGGAUAAGUGCUGACAAAGUUUCCGCGCUCUACGUGCACGAAAAGCAAAAAAAAUUGAAACAAAGUUUAAUACCGGUUACCCCAGCGGGCAAAUUUGUUUUUGUAUUUUUUGUGUUUGUAUCUUGUCAAAUAAACACAUGAUACAAGAACAUUUAGCGCAUUUAACAUUUAGUAUUUUACUAGGACUUUCUAAACAGUGACAGGAAAGCCAUAAGGAUUUACAAUAAAAGACAAAAUAUAGGAAAAAAAUAAUUAAUAAAUUGUACAGUUCCCUUACACCUAUCGAUUAGCCAUUUUAAACAAAACAAAAAAUUAUAGAUAUUACAUGGUGCGAUGUAAACAAACUGCAGUCAGUGUUAUUCUCACCAAUGACAGAAGUGAACAGCUCGGGAGCAGAGCUACCUGCUGCCAUGAAAGUUGCUCCGGCAACAUCUUCGCUCAAAUGAAGAUUCUUAUGGAAAGAUAAAAAAAAAAGGAGAAAGAAAUGAAGAACAAAAGAAAGGAAAAAGCAAGAAAGAAAGAAAGAAAAAAAAAGCGCGUCAGCGGUGUCCGGCCUUACCUCGCAUAUCUUCUCGAGAGAAGGGACGAAGUAGUCAUCGCACACAAUGGCCAGGGCGUAGAACAUGUAGACGGCCUGUGAGGGUCAGCACACAGAGCACGCCAAUGUAGCUGUUCUCAGAAAGUGUAAAUACAGUACAGACAUGCCACAUAUAUGCCAGAUAUGCCACGUGUUUUCAGAAAUAUUUUUAGAAUAUUAUGUAGAUUCUACGUUCUUAAUCCGUAGAGUAUUUAGGGAAUUUUGGAUUUUUGGCAAAAGAAAUGACAACCGUUUGUGUUUAAACUUCGUCACUAACUAAAGAGAUCAUUCUACUUAGUGUUUUACGAUUUAGGUAAAUUAAUGUCAAGUAUUGCGAAUGCGAAUAAAGGAAGAAUCUAGAUUAAAAUAAAAUAGAACGAAGAGGUGAAUUACUUUCCCAAGUUUAGGAACUUUUGUAAAUAAAGAUGCUGAUCUCUUUGCAUCUGCGAUACUACAGUAGCCCCGCCUCCUCUAGACUUAAGACACAGGUUCAAAACAGCCAAAUUAGGCCUUACAGCAACAUAAAAAUUUAAAAAAUCAAGAAAAAAUAAUUGCAAAAAAAAAUUUCAAAAAAUUGAAAUAAAAAGAAAUCAAUGUCAAAAAGCAAAAAAAAAAAAGAGCACGUUUUUCUAUCAGAAACAGCCACUGUAUUAAAGUCAUUCCCCGUUACUCUCCAUUCUAAAUCUAGUUUAAAGAAAAAUGCCCACUUGUUUUUUUUCCUCUUCAAGCCCAGUCAGCCUUUUCUCUGCUCCUGGCUGCAUGAUAAAGUCUGUUGUUCAAAACACUCAUGCAUAAUUCAACAGUUUAGUGUUUUCUUUAACACACAAACAAUUACUCUUUGGCAAAAAAAAAAAAA